rnacentral:tRNA from 1 species
GAGGUGGGGUAGUCUGGAUAUCCCGUCGGGCUCAUAACCCGGAGAUCGAUGGUUCAAAUCCAUCCCUC